AUUGAACGCUGGCGGCAGGCCUAACACAUGCAAGUCGAACGAGUGGCGGACGGGUGAGUAAUGUCUGGGAAACUGCCCGAUGGAGGGGGAUAACUACUGGAAACGGUAGCUAAUACCGCAUACCAUCGGAUGUGCCCAGAUGGGAUUGGCGAGUAGGUGGGGUAACGGCUCACCUAGGCGACGAUCCCUAGCUGGUCUGAGAGGAUGACCAGGAACACUGGAACUAAGACACGGUCCCGACGCCUACGGGAGGCAGCAGUGGGGAAUAUUGCAGAAAGGGCGGAAGCCUGAUGCAGCCAUGCCGCGUGUUUGAAGAAGGCCGUCGGGUUGUAAGGUACUUUCAGCGAGGAGGCAUUACUCGCAGGAGAAGCACCGGCUAACUCCGUGCCAGCAGCGGCGGUAAUUC
rnacentral:rRNA from 1 species